rnacentral:tRNA from 4 species
GCGGGUGUCGUUCAAUGGCAGGACCUGAGCUUCCCAAGCUCAAGACGUGGGUUCGAUCCCCAUCACCCGCUCCA